UAACUCAGUAGUAGAGUGCUUGCCUAGCAUGCAAGAGGCCCUGAGUUCAAUCCCCAG
rnacentral:tRNA from 1 species